UUUAUGGGAUAUUAAUUUCUUGUUUUGGUAUAAACUUACCAGUAACUUUUAAAGGGUCAUAGUUGAAACAGUUUAAAUGAGAAAAGAAAAGCUUUCUUGUUGCUUUUGGCCAAGGUUAUACUGAUUUAAAGAAUUUCUGUUUGAAAAGCUUUAUUUAAAACUAUCACAAAUUAGAUAUUUUAUUUGGGAAGGGGGAAGGUAAAGAUUAAUCAAGGGUGAAACUAUGCAACACUCACAUGUAUUUGAUUUGUAAUUAGCACAGUAAGUUUGUAAGUCUACUCUUCUUUUCUUUUGAUGUUUUAUUUCAAUGACGACUGUGGCACAAUUUUCUUGUAAUAUUGUUGUUGCUGCUGGGUAUGUUCAAAGAAUUUCACUUCUUCUACUUUUAGAAUAAUUCCAUUGUUAUGUUUUCAUCAAAUGUUCAUUAUUUUUUCCUUGCACCAAGAGCUACAUUUAUUAAGUUACACAAUUUGAAAUUUAAAAAAAAUAUUAUUUUUGUGAAGUAAUUAAGAAAAAUUAAGGUUUCUAGAAAAUGUUCGUAAAUAAAAUUUGACAGAUCUAUAGCUAGGAAAAUUCAGGCAUUUCUUCAUUCAUUUGAACUUCAUUCACAAUUUGUAUACAAAGAAAUUUGGUUCUUAUGCAAGACAGAGAGGGAACGAAAGUCACAAAUGGGGAUUUGACAAUUAUUACUCAAGAUUAAAAUGUUGUAAUGAAAGAAAAUGACAAUAAAAUGUUGAGAACUCU
rnacentral:sRNA from 1 species